CUGGUAAAAAGGUGAAAACCUUUUUUACCCCCAAACUCUGUGCAAUGGAGCACACGGCUUAUGCAUCGAUGAAGCCCGCGGCAAAAAGCGAUAUGUAAUGAGAUUCGUUAGCCUCGCGAUUCAUCAAAUUGGUGAACACAUACUGGACCUCUUCGGAGGUACUUGCGUUAGAGUGCUAGUUUUCUAUCAAUUGAUCCUGGUAAAAGGUGUUUGAAUCAUUAGGUCUUACGCCCUAGCCGGUGUAGCCGGAUUCUCUUUGAGAAUUCGGAUUGUUCCUGGAAUAUGAUAAUCUUGUUUUUAGGUUACACUUAUGGGUUUACUCAUGGUUAAGUAAUCUAAACGCUUGGUUAUUGACUAGGUCAAUCCAUUUUUUAUUAAACUGGCCUCUAAUGUGAGAGGGUACCCCCUGGAUUUAAGCAUAU
rnacentral:misc_RNA from 1 species